rnacentral:rRNA from 1 species
AGGGGCUCCGGAACCGUAAAUGCAAGCCGAGCGGCUAUAGAUUCUUCGGAAUCUAGAGAGCGGCGCACGGGUUGCGGAACACGAUGUGCAACCUACCUUUAUCAGGGGGAUAGCCUUUCGAAAGGAAGAUUAAUACCCCAUAAUAUAUUUGAUGGCAUCAUUAGAUAUUGAAAACUCCGGUGGAUAGAGAUGGGCACGCGCAGGAUUAGAUAGUUGGUAGGGUAACGGCCUACCAAGUCAACGAUCCUUAGGGGGCCUGAGAGGGUGAUCCCCCACACUGGUACUGAGACACGGACCAGACUCCUACGGGAGGCAGCAGUGAGGAAUAUUGGACAAUGGGUGAGAGCCUGAUCCAGCCAUCCCGCGUGAAGGACGACGGCCCUAUGGGUUGUAAACUUCUUUUGUAUAGGGAUAAACCUACCCUCGUGAGGGUAGCUGAAGGUACUAUACGAAUAAGCACCGGCUAACUCCGUGCCAGCAGCCGCGGUAAUACGGAGGGUGCAAGCGUUAUCCGGAUUUAUUGGGUUUAAAGGGUCCGUAGGCUGAUUUGUAAGUCAGUGGUGAAAUCUCACAGCUUAACUGUGAAACUGCCAUUGAUACUGCAAGUCUUGAGUGUUGUUGAAGUAGCUGGAAUAAGUAGUGUAGCGGUGAAAUGCAUAGAUAUUACUUUAGAACGCCAAUUGCGAAAGGCAGGUUGACUCA